rnacentral:lncRNA from 1 species
UUACUUUACCAAAUUCAAACCAUCCCCUCAAAAAACAACAUUGACUCUCAUAACUUGAGAUAGAUAUGAAGCAAACAUAUGUAGCCUACACCGAACUUCUAUUACAAUGAACGCAUGACACAUAUAUGUCAGAAUAACUAUUUCAACAACUUUGCAAUCCAUACGCUCAAAACUUCAAUUUACUUGAAUCCAACUUCAUAUUCAUACAAUCCAAGAAUCAAACCAACAAGCACACAUAGAUUCACUCUACAAGAUUUUAACAACAUAAGAAAGAGCUGGGCUAUCAUGCAGAAUUUAGGUUUUACAUACGUAACAAUACAGAAAUAAAAAAACAACAGAUGAAAUAGAUUUGAGAUACAACUUGUAUCCAAAGUGUUUCACAUUCAAAGCGCAGAUUCGCAUGUUUACAUGUUGUAUAUGGUUCCAAAAGGUACCUGGAAAGUAAAGAAAGUGAGAAGAAUGAGGGGCCAGCAGCAGCAAAUAGUAUCAGUAGUAAUGCAACAGUGUUAACAGCUUAAAUGAACCCAGACUUCCAAAGAAAAACCAGCUCCAAGCGACUCAAAUCAGACCUCUAACCCUCAUUCAAGCCAUUUCUUCACCCAGGUACAACUUUGGAAUUUUUCACAAAAUUUUAACUUAUCAAAAGAUUCAGAGAACUAAAAACCAAAAUCAAAACUAGUUCAAUCAAUUUUCAGCAUUUUUUCGGAAUUUCAGAAAGAGUUCAGUUGCUUUUAAAACUCAGUCUUUUAUUUUAGCUUUUUCAGUCAGCCGUUCUUGAAUUCUUCCAGAACCUUUUCCUCCUAAUCUCUGUCUUGAAUGCCAAGUUAAAGAGCCUUUAUAGGCAAGGCAUUUAGGGCAGCUUCAAAGUAUCAGUUUUGCACCUUGCCCCUUUCAAUAUUUUCAAUGUAGCUUUGCAAACCUUAGUCAAUUUCUGGUUUUGCUUAACUACCCUUAGUUCAAAUGUCAGAAUUCAGAAUAGUCCCCCUCCCCAGCUUUCUAGAAGCUUCCUAUUCAGUUACACAAUAUUCUCCUAGCCUAGAAUUCCGAAAUUGCCCCCAUGAGCCCCUGUUAUCACCCCUGAAACCAAAACUAAUAUAGGUCAAAGUUGACCCUAGGUUGAAUUAAUUCAAAACCCAGCCCAAACCAUGAGCCUGUACUAACAGCCCACUCUGAUCUUAAUAGAAAUCUUCCAAACAAACCAACCCCUUGAAACUCAGCAGAAAACAAAAGUUCACUUAGAGAUGCUCGGAAAGCAGUUAUUUAGCUAUUAAGACGACUGAUUAAUCACAUUAUACCCAGGAUAUUGAUAUGCUAACCCGUUUGAUUGAACUUAAAAAUAAACUUAAACUAAAGAGGAAUAAGGCUCAGAACAAUGGCUUUAAACAUUAACACGAAAAAAAAAAAGAAACAAAAGAAGGCCGGUUCAAACAUGAAGCAGACGACAGAGACGAAAGAACAAAGAACAAAUACCUCGAUGGCCAUACGGACAGGUCUUGACAAACUCAACGAUUCUGACUUGACUCGAAACUGGUAUUAGCCGUAUGUUCCUUUUGAGAACAAAUGAGUAAUACUCGUUUCAAGCCCAAUCGUUCAUCAGAACUCGAGGACUUGAGAUAUUUUCUUCUCCUUCGAUUUUAGAUUUGAAACAGGUCCGAUUUGGUGAGAAUUUUGGGAAAAAUGGUAAUGGAUUAGGAUGCAGGGAGGGGUGAUGGUUUCAUGGCGAAAUUUUGGUGGUGAUUGAAGCUAUUUCACCGGCGAUAAUGAUAGACUUGCUUGGAGAUGGCGUUAUCUGAUGAGGGAGGUGAGGGGAGGGUUUGUU